rnacentral:misc_RNA from 1 species
GAUUUUCAGAUAAAUAUGCCUCCACCUUUAUUCCUAUCGGGUCCAUGUGAAAUUUGCGGGCAAAAAACUUCGGGUCGACAUUUUGGAGUGAUGAGUUGCAGAUCGUGUGCUGCAUUUUUCAGAAGAGCUGCGACGUGGAAAACUGAAAGAGCCGAUUGUAAGAAGGAGAAUUGCCAAAUUUUUGAACGUGGAAAAUUCUCCUGCAAAGUUUGCCGUCUAAAACGGUGUUUGGAAGUCGGAAUGGAUGCCAGUAAAUUCCAAUCCAAUCGAGACCUGAUUUCUUCUUCACAUUCGUUUGGAAAACCAAAAUCCCUAAACCUUCCCCAAUCCCUAUCAACAUUUCUCGGAAGACCUGCGUUCAUAUUGUGCUGUGAACCGGAUAAGACGUCGGGACGGAAAACUCUAAUUGAUGUAUCUUAUCUGGUGAAAGAGGGAAGAGAUCUGCUGCGGACGGAGCCCCAUCUCUCUCAUAUCCCUUAUAAAUUCAAUGACAGCUUGGAGAAGAUAUCGCUGAAACUUGAAAGUCUGCGCACCACAGAACUGAAUAAUAAAAUUCGGAUGCUUAAAAAACUCGGAAAAGAAGAAACUAUGUAUACAUGGGAGCAGGACUUCCUUAGAGUUAUCAAGUGGUUCGCAAAUCUUGAUGAGUUUAAUGACUUGGACGAGGAUUUGAUGCUCAACAUAGUAAAGGCUGCCUGGAUCCCCUGGACAAUUUUGGAGAAGCUUUACGAGACCUCUGAUUACCAAAGGAAAAAUAUUUUUAGCAAGACUGUACUGAUGUGUGGCAAUGAUACAUGUAUGGACAUGAACAACUACGAGCUCGAUUUAUCCUGGCUCACGGACUACUCGUUGGACCAGCUUACAUACUUUUUCACUCCACCAGAAGCGAACAAAAACUAUUUAAAAGGCCUUGAAGCCUUAAUCGAGCUGAAUCCAAGCUCCAUUGAGGUCAACUACAUGCUUCUUCAACUCUCACUCCAACACGCCGGGAAAAUUCUACUUGGCAGUGCGCAAGAGGCCACUGACAAAUUACAACAUGUUCUGGCGGAUAAUCUACAUAAAUACUAUGUGGAGACUGCGAAAAUCCCAAACUAUUCGAUUCGUUUGUCAAAAAUGAUGAAGAUCAAUAGAGAAAUUGAGCGGGAAAUGCGAGAUCGAGCCGAGAGAAAUCGAAUCGCUCGGAUUUUUGAUAUACUGAAAGUGGAGUUUUCGGAUUUGGACCUGAUUGAUGCGACUUGAGAAGAUUGCGUUUUUAUUGGGAAAACUAUGUGCAAUAGUUCAAAAAUGUUCCGAUCUCUCGAAGUCAAAGACAUUGUUUUAAAUUAUCAUUAUUUCCGGUGACUUUUACUAUUUUAUUUUUCAAUUCCAAAGAUAAUUUUUUUUGUAAACUUUUUGAAAUACUACCAA